UCCUGUCAGUGAUGUUGUAUUCUAUAUCCUGUCAGUGAUGUUAUCCAGGUAGAGUAUUCUAUAUCCUGUCAGUGAUGUUAUCCAGGUAGAGUAUUCUAUAUCCUGUCAGUGAUGUUGUCCAGGUAGAGUAUUCUAUAUCCUGUCAGUGAUGUUAUCCAGGUAGAGUAUUCUAUAUCCUGUCAGUGAUGUUAUCCAGGUAGAGUAUUCUAUAUCCUGUCAGUGAUGUUGUCCAGGUAGAGUAUUCUAUUUCCUGUCAGUGAUGUUGUAUUCUAUUUCCUGUCAGUGAUGUUAUCCAGGUAGAGUAUUCUAUAUCCUGUCAGUGAUGUUGUCCAGGUAGAGUAUUCUAUAUCCUGUCAGGGAUGUUAUCCAGGUAGAGUAUUCUAUAUCCUGUCAGUGAUGUUGUAUUCUAUAUCCUGUCAGUGAUGUUGUCCAGGUAGAGUAUUCUAUUUCCUGUCAGUGAUGUUAUCCAGGUAGAGUAUUCUAUAUCCUGUCAGUGAUGUUAUCCAGGUAGAGUAUUCUAUAUCCUGUCAGUGAUGU
rnacentral:lncRNA from 1 species